UGGCUUCACAAAGGUAAAUAUUUGAUAUUGAUGUUUAUCAAGUGAAUAGUUUGAACAAGUAUUUUCUUUAUUUUUUUUUCUUUUGUUUUUUUCCCCUAUUGGGCCAUUAAGAAUCAAUCCUCCAGGCUGAGCAUUUAUGUUCCUUUAGUCAUUGAGGAUCAAUCCUCUGGACUAAGCACUUAUAUUUCUUAGGUCAAUCAAAAUCACUCUCUAGACUAGGUAUUUAUGUUUUUUGAGCCACUACAAAUGAACACCCAAACUUGAUGCUUAAAAAUAUGAAUUUUUGCAAUCAAUAUUUAUUUAAAUUAAUAGUUUGGAAAAAUCCAAUUGUUCUUUUAGUGUGCUGGCUUAAGGUAGGAAUUCAAGGAUAAAUUACCUUAUUUAUUUGAAGUUAUGUGAUUAGAAGUUUAUCUGCAAAACCCAUGUUUUCUGAUACAGUUGAGUAGGCUUCUUUUCUUAGAUAGUAGGUUAAAUGGAAGUAAUCACAGAAAUGCAUGUCAGUGCCUCUAUUCUUACGUUAUAGAUACGUUUCUUGUUUUUUUUAUUUUGUUUCCCUUAGUCUACCUUUUUUGUGCUUCUCGAACCUCUCUCGUGUAUCCUCUCUUCUUGCAUUGUCUAUUUCUUUAAUUAGGUUUUUUUUUUUGCUUCCUUGACUCAACUUUUCUAUGUCUCUCAAUUUUUGCACCUUGCAAGUGUUGUUAGAUAGUAUUUUUUUAGAUAUCCUAACAAACAAGUAAAUAAUAAUAAUAAUAAUAAAUACUUUCACAUAUUAUACCAAAAUAAAAAAAAUCAUAAAAAAUUUAUGUAUCAUUUUUAAUAAAUAUUGCAAGAAAAAAUAAAAAUUACUAAUUGAAAUUCUUGCAUUGUUACUUUUAUUGGCAAAAAAUGACAGUGUUCAUAAAAAAACUACAAACAAUAAAUUAGUAAAAGAAUUGUAUUUAUUUGAGUGAUAAACAUAUUAUUGUCAAAUGUUUGUACAUUUAUAAGUUGUCUGUCUUUUUAUAGAAAACUUAAACAAACACAAAUUCACAAGGAAGAAACAUAAAACUUUACAUAAUGUGAAUUCUAAAAAAACAUUUUAAAGGGUGUGACAAUAAAGCAAGGUGAUUGUGUGAUAUAAUUGCACAACUCAUAACUAUGUUGGAACCUAUUGGUUCCAACGCUCUGUGAACAAAAUUGACAAACAUGUAAUACUAAUAGUAUAGCAGAUGUUCAUGUAUUCAGA
rnacentral:lncRNA from 1 species